rnacentral:rRNA from 1 species
UACGAAGGGGGCUAGCGUUGCUCGGAAUUACUGGGCGUAAAGGGCGCGUAGGCGGACAGUUAAGUCAGAGGUGGAAGCCCAGGGCUCAACCCUGGAAUAGCCUUUGAUACUGGCUGUCUUGAGUGCGGGAGAGGUGUGUGGAACUCCGAGUGUAGAGGUGAAAUUCGUAGAUAUCGGGAGGAACACCUAGUGCGAAGGCAGCGCGGUGGGACGUCACUGACGCUGAGACGCGAAAGCGUGGGGAGCAAACAGG